rnacentral:misc_RNA from 1 species
GAUGAAGAACGUAGCGAAAUGCGAUAAGUAAUGCGAAUUGCAGAAUUCCGUGAGUCAUCGAAUCUUUGAACGCACAUUGCGCCCGCCAGUAUUCUGGCGGGCAUGCCUGUUCGAGCGUCAUUUCAACCAUCAAGCCCCAGGCUUGUGUUGGGGACCUGCGGCUGCCGCAGGCCCUGAAAACCAGUGGCGGGCUCGCUGUCACACCGGGCGUAGUAGAUUUUAUCUCGCUCAGGGCGUGCUGCGGGUUCCGGCCGUUAAAAAGCCUUUUUUACCCAAGGUUGACCUCGGAUCAGGUAGGAAGACCCGCUGAACUUAAGCAUAUCAAUAAGCGGAGGA